AGUGAACGCUGGCGGUAGGCCUAACACAUGCAAGUCGAACGGCAGCACAGUAAGAGCUUGCUCUUACGGGGGGCGAGUGGCGGACGGGUGGGGAAUACAUCGGAAUCUACUUUUUCGUGGGGGAUAACGUAGGGAAACUUACGCUAAUACCGCAUACGACCUACGGGUGAAAGCAGGGGAUCUUCGGACCUUGCGCGAUUGAAUGAGCCGAUGUCGGAUUAGCUAGUUGGGGGGGUAAAGGCCCACCAAGGCGGCGAUUCGUCGCCGGACUGAGAGGCUGAUAGGCCACCCUGGAACUGGGACACGGACCAUGCGCCUGCGGGAGGCAGCAGUCGGGAAUAGUGGACAGUGGGGGCAAGCCUGGUCCAGCCAUCCCGCGUGUGUUGAGAAGGCGUUCGGUUUGUAAAGCCCUUUUUUGGGGAGAGAACAGCAGCAGGUUAAUACGAAGCUGUUGUGACGGUACCUAAAGAAUAAGCACCGGCUAACUUCGUG
rnacentral:rRNA from 1 species